UUUGAUCCGUUCUUGAUGGGUUCGGGUCUAGUGGCACGGUUUUUUCAACUUCGUGACUAGAUCCACACUCAUUAAGGAAGUUUCACA
rfam:Tribolium castaneum strain Georgia GA2 linkage group LG7, whole genome shotgun sequence.